AAUAUAACCGGUCGGCUCUCCCGUUAACUUUUCCGACAGCCGUAUACCACCGGUUUCCUCAUUCGCAACUUCUCCGGCCGCCGGCCGACUGGUAGGCUCUUCCGCAGCUUCUCAGUUGGUGGAAAGAAAAGAAGAAGAGAAAGGACAAUGUUGAGCUUAAACAACACUCUCCCAACUAUUUCUGUUCAUCAAAGAAUCUCUUUCGUUUCUACAAUUUUUGCUCAAAAGAGGGUUAUUUUUCGUACUAUGGACAAAAAUCAGCGUGUUUUGUUGUCAUCAUCGCAGCAAACUGAGAAUAGCUCUUCUAUAUUGUCUUGUAAAGCUUCAUUGGAAGUUGUACAUGACUCACCCAGUGGUUCAGCAGUCCAUGGACUAUCGGAAACGGUUGUGGGUGUUUUGGGAGGAGGGCAGCUGGGUCGUAUGCUGUGUGAAGCAGCAUCCCAAAUGGCAAUUAAAAUGAUUGUCUUGGAUCCAAUGGAGAAUUGUCCUGCUAGUGCACUAGCACAUCAACAUGUGGUGGGAAGUUAUGAUGACAGUGCCACAGUUGAAGAAUUUGGG
rnacentral:misc_RNA from 1 species